UCUGAAUGUAGUCAUUGGUGACGGAAGAAAAUAUUUGUCUCUGAAAGCCAUCCGUGGAGAUCAUAAAAUCAUUCCUACAUCUUGCCUUGAGCUAGCAGAAUGAAAUUGCCCAGAGUGGAAAAAGUCAAAAUGUUCUUUUUGAGAGCUUGGCUUUCCUGUGGGUGAUUUUCCAAGGUGGGUACUUCAUUGACCAACAUUUGAGUGUGACAACAGCAUCCAGCACGGACGGUCAGUACUAGCUACUACCUACAGACAAACUCCCGCAGCAAGCCUUAGAGAAUAUGCUGACUUUAUUAUAUUCUCACUUGAAACAUCCUAAGAAGGUCCACACAUUCCUUUGGGGUCAUGAGACCAUGGCAGGGGUUGGGGGCGAGGGUUGGAUUUCUGUGUAGAAUUGAAUCCUCCACAUGAUGGCACAGGGUGGUCAUUGGGGAGAGCUGGGAGCCUUUGGCUACCCUGUCUUAGCCAUGAUUUCCAGCACUGAGCAAAUGAGAGCUAAUUUUAGGUGACAUCUGGACAAGGCUUUACCUCACACUGCACCCUGCAGUGACACCACAAAGUGUCUUUUCAAUUUUCAGUCCUUCUGAACAUAGGAAGGAUAAAUUCUCAGUUUUGUAAACUUAUAUCUGCACUCAUGAGAAAAGACGGGUACCGGUUUCUGAUUUGGAGGUAUUAGGCUUUAAUUGCUUUGUAAAACAUGCCAGCCUCCCCUCCACCCAUAAUUACUCUAUGGCAGUUUUAAAGGUAGGAGGAAAUUUUAUUUAAAAACAGAUUGGUGUAUUUCUCUCACAUUCUAUGGUGUCUUUGGUUGGGCAAGAAUGCACUGGCACAGUGCUCUGCUCCUCCAGGAUUCGGUGCAAUGGCUAAGGCAGGACGUGAGGCUGGCUACGCUCUGUUCAUUACUGCUUCCUCAAAAAUCACACUGAACCAAGACCAUGGCCACGGAGACUAGGAAUGCUGUCAUCCUCCCCCGUCCUCACUCCUGUGAGGCCUGGCCUCCUGAGUCUGCCCACUUUGUAACAAGUAUUAUGAAUGGUUGGGAGAAAAGCAGCAGCCUUGGUUUUAAGCAGGGCCAGUGAUGUAAUGACCUCGUAUCUUUAAGGUUCAGUUCCUCACCUCAGGCCAAGGGGCUCCUGUUCUCUUACUUCUGGAAGGUGGGGUCUAGUUCACCCCUGCAGCCUGCUGAAGCUGUGUGCUCCAAGGGCCAGGAAUGGAUGGAGCAGGUGCAGAUGGGAUGGGUGAUGCAGCGAUAGCAGCCGCGGCACUGAGAUCGUGUCACACGUGAGUUCUGAGCCUUUUCUCCGCUUAGGCUGCAAAUCCUUGGCAAUCGGAGGCAGGCUCUGAAUUAAGCUUAAUUAAAACUCACUCUUAAUUAGGGCCAUUACUUAAAAUCAACUCUAUGUAAUAAAGCCGUGUAAUCAUAAUUAAGCCCCAGGAAUGGAAUUAGGAAGCAGGGAAUGUGAAAGCCAAAUACAAGGGCCUUGUGAUGGUGGGGGUGACAGAGCCUUCUUCUUCAAUUAACAGGAUUUUUAAGUAAAUGAGCAGCAGCCAGUCGUGGUGACGACUUGGGUAGCCACAGGCAUGGUGAGCACACCAGAAAGGGGACGGACUUGAAGAAAGUAGACCCCAGGGGCAAUGGGCUCAGGUAGUGUGAUGGGUGACAGGGACAGUCACAAUGUCCAAACUGUCUUUAAUUUAAAAUCCUUGCUUCCUAAGGAACUCUUGUUAGAGGAGCUUGGAUCAGCACAGCCAAGGUCAGCGCUAUCCACCUGUCUUCUGGCUGCUGAUGUCACAGUCAUAGUGAUUGAUCCUAAGGAGAAAAGGGAAGUGACUCCUGGUGGCAGCCUCCUGCUUUGAUAUCAUUAAUAAGCCACCAAAGAGUGGGGACACAAUUUGGAAAUGAAAGGGCCAGUUUUGCAGGUUGGACGUACCAGAUGCUGGCAGUGGCCUAGGGUGUUGUUUCCUUCUCAAUUUCUUGAGCUAUGGUGUGGAAAUUGAAAUAGGCAGUGCCUUCAGGUUGUUCUGAUAAAUAUAAAGCAUUUAUAUAGCAUAGUGUUUACCGUAGUGCCUACAAACAACAGCAAAGUUUAUAUAGUUCUAAUAUAGGUAUGCUGCAGUAAGCACUGUUGUUUAUACGUUUGAGACCGCUGUUGGCCAUAGAUGUCAUAUUAAAUAGACAUCAUUUUCUUUAAUUUAUACGUAAAUAACUGUGGACUCAAAGAGGCCCAGGAACUCACAUAGGACAAGUAACAUCCCAUGGGAAGGAAGUGCAUAGAAAGAGCCACACAUGCAAGAGUUAUAAAGGCAGUGUCUGCCCCAGCUUGUUACUGAUCAGAGUCGGUGACGCCCACCGGAGAACAAGUGCCUAGAAGCACAGGCCUCUCAGAGAAGGCUGCUCUUUCAGGCCUAGUUUCUAGGCCCAAGCCUGUUUGUCUAAUUCUGCCAAAGAAAGAGACUUGCUCAUUCCAGAGUUAUAGAGUUGGAGGGAAAGUACAGACAGUUUCUUCUCCCAGCUUCCCCUCCAUUUCAUUUUCUUUGCUCAGGGUUCUUGGGGUUAUUCUUAGAAGUGGUAAGGGGGUGUAGACAGCCAUAACCUUCACCUCCUGUUUCCCUUUUAUAGCCCCCAUUUCUCCAGGAGUGUCUCCUCCUGUGGGCAGGUACAGACAUCAUGCCUGGUACCAGGUUAAAGCUCUGCACACACAUUGUCUCUUUUAUUCUGCAUCCAAGCUUCAAAGGUUGGGAUCAUCAUCUGUGCACUGCAGGUGAGGAAACUGUAGCUGGGACAGGCAAAGCCCAGUCAGCUCACUGACUGCAGUGAAAUAUGCCAUUUGAUCCUGUUCACUCCUAUAGAUAGCAUGCUCUUCCAGAGAUGCAGGCUGGAGCGGGUCCCCCGGACAGUUUCUACCCAUGGCAGCAUCAGCACUGAAGUUACACCUUUGACUCAGCCAACAUCUCAGAGCUCACGUUUCCCAAGCAGCCUUGGGUCCACACAGCGACUCCCCUUGACGCUUGCAGGCCUCAGAACUCGCUGAGCUCAGUUCUCCUGAUUGGUCUUCAAGACAGUACAAGGUAGAAAUUCAGCUGGGGCCAGGUCGUCAUGAAGUCAUCCAACUCUGACCUUUAAUAUCAUCGUUAAGUGAAUGAUACACAUGCAAAUGUUGGUUGGGCGGGCUAUGUUCAAAGUGUUAGAUACUGAGGUCUUGAAUCUUUCACAGUUUUGGCAUGGCUGGCUUAACAUUUCUGCAUUUGUUAAUGAACAGAAACCAUCAUUAGAAAGAAAGCAGGAUACAGGCUAACCAGUGAAGGUCUGGGACAUAACCUAGUGGUCACCUUUGCUCAUCUCUGACUGGGACUUUGUGCUUUUGGGCUCCCUAGAGAGGCCAUCUUGAUUAGAGGCGUAGGCCUGGAGAUAGGGGGCACUCUAGUAAGGAAAGUUCAUGAUUACCACCAGGUAGCACUACAAAUCAACCAUGAACCCUUGUUCUUGAGAGAGGGAAGACUGUGGCAGGUAAGAGAGCUAGAGACCAGCUUGGGUCGCUCAGGCUCCACUCUCCCACUGAGCGGUACCUCCCCUCCCCUCCCAUCUCCACACCAAGCUUCCCAUGUGGUGGCCCUGACCUGUGUGAAUCCAUCAUGGAGAGCAACUGGAGAGCGGGUUAGUGCCACAUGGGAGGGGAAGGCUCCCUGGUGUGUAUGGUAGGCUUUCAGGUGCUUACCGACCCCAGCACUUGACCAGAAGAAGCCUCAGUCCCUUUCCUAGCAUGACCCCUUUGUCCUUCAAGAUCAUUUGCCUCUAUUUACACUAAAUAGAGGCAGCUCCAUUUUUGAGUUCCUGUAUUUUGGGCAAGCCAAGCUGGAGGUCCCCACAGCCGGUCCAAGCAGGCCUCAGCUGUCCUGGAGAUGGUCACGUGGAAGGCGCUCCCAAGCCCGCUCCUCUGACAAAGUUUAGCAAACAGCUUAUCUCCCAGAAAACACGUGAGGUAAUGUUUAUGAAAUAUCAUCCUGUCCCCUUCAC
rnacentral:lncRNA from 1 species